CCUACGGGAGGCAGCAGUGGGGAAUAUUGGACAAUGGGGGGAACCCUGAUCCAGCCAUGCCGCGUGUGUGAAGAAGGCCCUCGGGUUGUAAAGCACUUUCAGCGAGGAAGAACGCCUAGCGGUUAAUACCCGCUAGGAAAGACAUCACUCGCAGAAGAAGCACCGGCUAACUCCGUGCCAGCAGCCGCGGUAAUACGGAGGGUGCAAGCGUUAAUCGGAAUUACUGGGCGUAAAGCGCGCGUAGGUGGCUUGAUAAGCCGGUUGUGAAAGCCCCGGGCUCAACCUGGGAACGGCAUCCGGAACUGUCAAGCUAGAGUGCAGGAGAGGAAGGUAGAAUUCCCGGUGUAGCGGUGAAAUGCGUAGAGAUCGGGAGGAAUACCAGUGGCGAAGGCGGCCUUCUGGACUGACACUGACACUGAGGUGCAAAAGCGUGGGUAGCAAACAGGAUUAGAUACCCUGGUAGUCCACGCCGUAAACGAUGUCGACCAGCCGUUGGGUGCCUAGCGCACUUUGUGGCGAAGUUAACGCGAUAAGUCGACCGCCUGGGGAGUACGGCCGCAAGGUUAAAACUCAAAUGAAUUGACGGA
rnacentral:rRNA from 1 species